GUGUAUUUUGAUAUCUCUCUCUCUCUCUCUCUAUAUAUAUAUAUAUAUAUAUAUAUAUAUAUAUAUAUAUAGAGAGAGAGAGAGAGAGAGAGAGAGAGAGAGAGAGAGAGAGAUCAAAAUACAC